AUACGUAGGGGGCGAGCGUUAUCCGGAUUUAUUGGGCGUAAAGCGUGUGUAGGCGGUUUGUUAAGUUUAAGAUUAAAGCCCGAGGCUUAACCUCGGUUCGUCUUAAAAACUGGCAGACUUGAGUGCAGUAGAGGCAAGUGGAAUUUCUAGUGUAGCGGUUAAAUGCGUAGAUAUUAGAAGGAACACCAGUGGCGAAGGGGGCUUGCUGGGCUGUUACUGACGCUGAGACACGAAAGCGUGGGGAGCAAAUAGGAUUAGAUACCCUAGUAGUCCACGCCGUAAACGAUGAGUACUAAGUGUCGGGUAACCGGUGCUGAAGUUAACACAUUAAGUACUCCGCCUGAGUAGUACGGUCGCAAGGCUGAAACUCAAAUGAAUUGGCGGGG
rnacentral:rRNA from 1 species